rfam:Ciona savignyi cont_50585, whole genome shotgun sequence.
UUUAUUCCACUGAUGAAGCGUUGUUGCCACAGUAUUCCUGCUCAGUACGAGAGGAACCGCAGAUUCAGACAUUUGGUUCAUGUGCUUGGCUGAUAAGCCAAUGGUGCGAAGCUACCAUCUGAGGGAUUAUGACUGAACGCCUCUAAGUCAGAAUCCCGCCUGGAAAGCGACGAUGCAUUCGUGCCUCGGCCUCGAGAGGCGUAGCUAGACGGCCGCGUGGCCGUGGAAAGAGCCCGAUUCCGACCCGAGAGGCCGCGGCAAGAGGCGGCCUCGAAGUCGGUGGAUCCUCCUGCUCGAAAGGCGGGGUGCUAAACCAUUCGCAGACGACCUAGUUGAAGAUCGGGGUGUCGUGAUCACUAGAGCAGUACAUCUCACUGCGAUUUGUUGAGAGUAAGCCUCAAGAUCUGUCGGUUUGU